GACGAACGUUGGCGGCGUGCUUAAUACAUGCAAGUCAACUGAAGCAGUGGUAGCAAUAUCGCUGUGGAGGUGGCGCACGGGUGAGUAACACGUAGGUAAUCUGCCUUCAGGUCUGGCAUAACUCCGGGAAACCGGGGCUAAUAGCAGAUGAUGCAGCGGCUCGACAUCGAGACAGUUGUUAAAUCUAUGGCGCCUGAAGAUGAGCCUGCGUCUGAUUAGUUAGUUGGCGGGUUAACGGCCCACCAAGGCAACGAUCAGUAGCUGGUCUGAGAGGAUGAUCAGCCACACUGGAACUGAGACACGGUCCAGACUCCUACGGGAGGCAGCAGUAAGGAAUAUUGCUCAAUGGGAGAAAUCCUGAAGCAGCAACGCCGCGUGAGGGACGAAGGGCUUUUGCUUGUAAACCUCUGUAGUGAGAGAAAAAAAUCCCAAUCUUUGGGACAUGAUGGUAUCUCAAAAGUAAGCCCCGGCUAACUACGUG
rnacentral:rRNA from 1 species